UACGAAGGGGGCUAGCGUUGCUCGGAAUUACUGGGCGUAAAGGGCGCGUAGGCGGAUCGUUAAGUCAGAGGUGAAAUCCCAGGGCUCAACCCUGGAACUGCCUUUGAUACUGGCGAUCUUGAGUAUGAGAGAGGUAUGUGGAACUCCGAGUGUAGAGGUGAAAUUCGUAGAUAUUCGGAAGAACACCAGUGGCGAAGGCGACAUACUGGCUCAUUACUGACGCUGAGGCGCGAAAGCGUGGGGAGCAAACAGGAUUAGAUACCCCGGUAGUCC
rnacentral:rRNA from 1 species